rnacentral:sRNA from 1 species
ACUUAGCCCUGAUUGCAGUCUCGUUUUUUUGGACGAGACGGAAAGCAGGAAUAAGG